rnacentral:rRNA from 1 species
ACGGGUGAGUAACGCGUAGGAAUCUGCCCAAUAGUGGGGGACAACGUUCCGAAAGGGACGCUAAUACCGCAUACGCCCUACGGGGGAAAGCAGGGGAUCUUCGGACCUUGCGCUAUUGGAUGAGCCUGCGUCGGAUUAGCUAGUUGGCGGGGUAAAGGCCCACCAAGGCGACGAUCCGUAGCUGGUCUGAGAGGAUGAUCAGCCGCACCGGAACUGAGACACGGUCCGGACUCCUACGGGAGGCAGCAGUGGGGAAUAUUGGACAAUGGGGGCAACCCUGAUCCAGCCAUGCCGCGUGUGUGAAGAAGGCCUUCGGGUUGUAAAGCACUUUAAGGGGGGAGGAAGGUUCGCUGGCUAAUACCCAGCGGAAUUGACGUUACCCCCAGAAUAAGCACCGGCUAACUCCGUGCCAGCAGCCGCGGUAAUACGGAGGGUGCAAGCGUUAAUCGGAAUUACUGGGCGUAAAGCGCGCGUAGGCGGCUGGGUAAGUCGAUUGUGAAAUCCCCGGGCUCAACCUGGGAAUUGCAGUCGAGACUGCCCGGCUAGAGUGUGGGAGAGGGUGGUGGAAUUCCCGGUGUAGCGGUGAAAUGCGUA